UACGUAGGCAGCGAGCGUUGUUCGGAGUUACUGGGCGUAAAGGGUGUGUAGGCGGUUCUUUAAGUUUGGUGUGAAAUCUCCCGGCUCAACCGGGAGGGUGCGCCGAAUACUGAGGGACUAGAGUAUGGGAUGGGAAAGUGGAAUUCCUGGUGUAGCGGUGAAAUGCGUAGAUAUCAGGAGGAACACCUGUGGUGUAGACGGCUUCUGGACCAUAACUGGCGCUGAGACACGAAAGCGUGGGUAGCAAACAGG
rnacentral:rRNA from 1 species